rnacentral:rRNA from 1 species
GAUCAUGGCUCAGGAUGAACGCUAGCUACAGGCUUAACACAUGCAAGUCGAGGGGCAGCAUGAGAGUAGCUUGCUACUCUGAUGGCGACCGGCGCACGGGUGCGUAACGCGUAUCCAACCUGCCGUGUACUCCGGGAUAGCCCUCUGAAAGGAGGAUUAAUACCGGAUGUGGUCGGGUGAAGACAUCUUUGCUCGAUUAAAGAUUUAUCGGUACACCGAUGGGGAUGCGUACGAUUAGGUAGUCGGCGGGGUAACGGCCCACCGAGCCGACGAUCGUUAGGGGUUCUGAGAGGAAGGUCCCCCACAUAGGAACUGAGACACGGUCCUAACUCCUACGGGAGGCAGCAGUGAGGAAUAUUGGUCAAUGGGCGAGAGCCUGAACCAGCCAAAGUAGCGUGAAGGAUGACUGCCCUAUGGGUUGUAAACUUCUUUUAUAGGGGAAUAAAGUGCCGUACGUGUACGGUUUUGUAUGUACCCUAUGAAUAAGCAUCGGCUAAUUCCGUGCCAGCCGCGGC